rnacentral:lncRNA from 10 species
UAGAGAAAUCCUAUGCAAAUAUUUGACUUUUAAAAUCAUGGACAAUUAAAUUUUGAUUAUAAAAACUUCAAUGAAUAUGAAAAUUUAUACCUAAUGAGAACAGAAUUCAACAAGUGACACUUGCUAACUAAAAUAAACAAGACUAAUAAAUACACAACAUAAAUGCAUGAAUGUGUAAAUGACAUCAACCUGAAAACAUAAAAGAAAAUGUCAACGAACACAUCUCUGGAUCAGUAAGUAGCACAUGAGUGAAUUCCCUACUCCAGCUCCCUUACUGGUUGCUUUGUGAACCAGGCAGUGGGAGGAAACAGGGCCCAGCCAGGGUCCCUCGUCCUUCUCUUGCUUCCAGGCAGGUCCUGCAUCCACUCCUGCUGCAAGAAGGGCUCCCAUCCCUGCCUUGGGUCUUUUUCACAGGUGUCACCCUUACACUCUCUGCCAUGACCACCUUACGUGGGUGGGGCUGAGGUUGCCUUGACCAAGAAGUGCAUCACCCAUCUGUGUGCCCCAACACCAGCAGUCAGGAGGCAUCAAGAAAUAGGGUGAGGAAUAACCCACCUCUUGCAUGUCCACUUUCCUGGUUCAUUUAUUCUUCAUUCAUUCAGUCCACACCUCCCCAGCAGUCACUUUACGCCAGAACCUGACUGACUGGGAUUCUUCAAAAUCAGAAAACCUCCAAGCACUCUCUAUCCCCUCCCGAAUAUCACACUUCAGCUCUGUGUCAUCACAUGAAGGCUCCAACUCUUCAGGGCAGAUGUUCCCCCACAGGGUCAGCCCCUGAAGGUCAGUGCCAGAUGUCCCACCUCCAUCCCUUCCCAGUCCUUUCUGUUCUGCUGUGAAUCUGUCAGUCAUCAGGAGCUAGCAGGGAAAGGGGACAAGGAGGGGAGAUUGUCUUCA